rnacentral:rRNA from 1 species
CGGGGGAGCAAGCGUUGUUCGGAUUUACUGGGCGUAAAGGGCGCGUAGGCGGCCCCUGCAAGUCGACUGUGAAAUCUCCGGGCUUAACCCGGAAAGGUCAGCCGAUACUGCAGGGCUAGAGUGCAGAAGGGGCAACUGGAAUUCUCGGUGUAGCGGUGAAAUGCGUAGAUAUCGAGAGGAACACCUGCGGCGAAGGCGGGUUGCUGGGCUGACACUGACGCUGAGGCGCGAAAGCUAGGGGAGCGAACGGGAUUAGAUACCCCGGUAGUCCUAGCCUUAAACGAUGAAUGCUUGGUGUCUGGGGUUUUAUAGUCCCCGGGUGCCGUCGCUAACGCUUUAAGCAUUCCGCCUGGGGAGUACGGUCGCAAGACUG